AGCCGCAUGCCUUGGCGAAUUGUAGGGUCCCGCUGGCCACUGAUGCGAGAAAUCUGCAGA
rnacentral:SRP_RNA from 1 species